rnacentral:misc_RNA from 1 species
AACGCACAUUGCGCUCGAGGCUUCGGCCCAGAGCAUGUCUGCCUCAGCGUCGGGUUAAUAUCAUCUAACUAUUCACAAUUACUUGUGAAUAACUUAUAGAUGGACCUGGCCGUUCCAGUUCAGUCAUCGAAUACACGAAUACUCGUGUAUUCGAAACAGUGUACCCUGGAUCGGCUGAAGCUUAGAGGCUCUUCGGGACCCGUUAAUCGGGCCACAAUUGGGUAGGCUUAGUCUUCACUCUGAUGACUCUGUCAAUGCUUAAUUGUUGGCUUGGGACUCGACGAUCUGCCCUCAACCACAGGAUUAACUAACUAAUCUAUUACCUCGACCUGAGCUCAGGCAAGACCACCCGCUGAACUUAA